GUGGGGAAUUUUGGACAAUGGGCGCAAGCCUGAUCCAGCAAUGCCGCGUGCAGGAAGAAGGCCUUCGGGUUGUAAACUGCUUUUGUACGGAACGAAAAGGCUCUGGUUAAUACCUGGGGCUCAUGACGGUACCGUAAGAAUAAGCACCGGCUAACUACGUGCCAGCAGCCGCGGUAAUACGUAGGGUGCAAGCGUUAAUCGGAAUUACUGGGCGUAAAGCGUGCGCAGGCGGUUUUGUAAGACAGACGUGAAAUCCCCGGGCUCAACCUGGGAAUGGCGUUUGGGACUGCAAAGCUGGAGUGCGGCAGAGGGGGAUGGAAGUCCGCGUGUAGCAGUGAAAUGCGUAGAUAUGCGGAGGAACACCGAUGGCGAAGGCAAUCCCCUGGGCCUGCACUGACGCUCAUGCACGAAAGCGUGGGGAGCAAACAGGAUUAGAAACCCCUGUAGUCC
rnacentral:rRNA from 1 species